ACCCCAAUAAACCCUUUGUAAUACCUGUAAUCGUCUGACAAAACAAACAAAAAUUAAAACUUUCAACAACGGAUCUCUUGGUUCUGGCAUCGAUGAAGAACGCAGCGAAAUGCGAUAAGUAGUGUGAAUUGCAGAAUUCAGUGAAUCAUCGAAUCUUUGAACGCACAUUGCGCCCUAUGGUAUUCCGUAAGGCAUGCCUGUUCAAGCGUCAUUCAAACCUUCAAGCUCUGCUUGGUGUUGGGCGUCUGUCCUGCCUCACGGCGCGGACUCGCCUCAAAUCAAUUGGCGGCCGGCACGUUGGCUUCGAGCGCAGCAGAAACGCGAACUCGAGACCGGCGGAUCGGCUCCCAAAAGCUACCCCCCAUGAAUUUGACCUCGGAUCAGGUAAGGAUACCCGCUGAACUUAAUCAUAUCAAUAAGCGGAGGAAAGGAUCAUUAUCGUGGGGCUUCGGCCC
rnacentral:rRNA from 1 species